ACUCUAAUGAGACUGCCGGUGACAAACCGGAGGAAGGUGGGGAUGACGUCAAGUCCUCAUGGCCCUUAUAGGUGGGGCUACACACGUCAUACAAUGGCUGGUACAAAGGGUUGCCAACCCGCGAGGGGGAGCUAAUCCCACAAAGCCAGUCGUAGUCCGGAUCGCAGUCUGCAACUCGACUGCGUGAAGUCGGAAUCGCUAGUAAUCGUGGAUCAGAAUGUCACGGUGAAUACGUUCCCGGGUCUUGUACACACCGCCCGUCACACCAUGGGAGCGGGUUCUGCCAGAAGUAGGUAGCCUAACCGUAAGGAGGGCGCUUACCACGGCAGGGUUCGUGACUGGGGUGAAGUCGUAACAAGGUAGCCGUAUCGGAAGGUGCGGCUGGAUCACCUCCUUU
rnacentral:rRNA from 1 species